rnacentral:rRNA from 1 species
AUUGAACGCUGGCGGCAGGCCUAACACAUGCAAGUCGAGCGAGCGGCGGACGGGUGAGUAAUGUCUGGGAAACUGCCUGAUGGAGGGGGAUAACUACUGGAAACGGUAGCUAAUACCGCAUACCAUCAGAUGUGCCCAGAUGGGAUUAGCUAGUUGGUGGGGUAACGGCUCACCAAGGCGACGAGCCCUAGCUGGUCUGAGAGGAUGACCAGCCACACUGGAACUGAGACACGGUCCAGACUCCUACGGGAGGAAGCAGGGGGGAAUAUUGCACAAUGGGCGAAAGCCUGAUGCAGCAAUGCCGCGUGUAUGAAGAAGGCCUGCGGGUUGUAAAGUACUUUCAGCGGGGAGGCGUUACCCGCAGAAGAAGCACCGGCUAACUCCGUGCCAGCAGCCGCGGUAAUAC